rnacentral:sRNA from 1 species
GAACAGCGUGCUGCGGGUUCACCUCGGA